UUAAGAAUCUUGCACAAUGGGCGCAAGCCUGAUGCAGCGACGCCGCGUGGAUGAUGAAGGCCUUCGGGUUGUAAAGUCCGGUAAGCAGGGAAGAAUAAGCGCCGGGUAAUAUUCGGUGUGAUGACGGUACCUGCCUAAAGCCCCGGCUAACUACGUGCCAGCAGCCGCGGUAAUACGUAUGGGGCGAGCGUUGUUCGGAAUUAUUGGGCGUAAAGGGCGUCUAGGCGGGGAUUUAAGUUAGGUGUGAAAGCUAUGGGCUCAACCCAUAAAUUGCACCUAAAACUGGAUCUCUUGAGUUCGGGAGAGGAGAGCGGAAUUCCAGGUGUAGCGGUGAAAUGCGUAGAUAUCUGGAAGAACACCGGUGGCGAAGGCGACUUUCUGGCCCGAUACUGACGCUCAG
rnacentral:rRNA from 1 species